GUGAAUCAUCAAAUUUUUGAACGCAAAUUGCACUUUCUGGUAUUCCGGAAAGUAUGCCUGUUUGAGGGUCAGUUAAAUAAAAAUCGGUGUUGUUUCUGCCUUUCGUGGUUACGCUUCGGAAUUGAGUUGUCUUACCUUCGGUUCAGUGACUUAAAAUUUUGCAUGAUUUUCUAACGUAUUUAACUUUCUUACUUACGUUUGAGAUAUCGCAUACUUUAUUCGGUUCGGUCAUCCUCAUGCUUCUCGCCUAUAAUUUUUUCAUUAAAUGACCUCCAAUCAGUU
rnacentral:misc_RNA from 1 species